CAGCUGCUUGAUACCAAAGAUCAGAGCCACGAUCUAGACCCCAAGAAGGAGAGAGACUGAGUAAGAGCCAUUUCCCCGUUGUACAUUCACCAUCUGAGACCCAAAGAGAGGCACUGAGAGACCUCAAGUCACAUGGCGGGCCUCCAUGUCCUGAGCUGCAGGAACAAUCCCCUGAUUAUCCCUGUGGUCCAUGACCUCAGCCAGCCCUUCUACCACAGCCAGGCGGUACGUGUGAGCUUCAGUUCGCCCCUGGUCGCCAUCUCGGGGGUGGCCCUCCGCUCCUUCGACAACUUUGACCCCGUCACCCUGAGCAGCUGCCAGAGAGGGGAGACCUACAGCCCUGCCGAGCAGAG
rnacentral:sRNA from 1 species